rnacentral:rRNA from 1 species
AUUGAACGCUGGCGGCAGGCUUAACACAUGCAAGUCGAGCGGAGAUGAGGUGCUUGCACCUUAUCUUAGCGGCGGACGGGUGAGUAAUGCUUAGGAAUCUGCCUAUUAGUGGGGGACAACAUUCCGAACGGAAUGCUAAUACCGCAUACGUCCUACGGGAGAAAGCAGGGGAUCUUCGGACCUUGCGCUAAUAGAUGAGCCUAAGUCGGAUUAGCUAGUUGGUGGGGUAAAGGCCUACCAAGGCGACGAUCUGUAGCGGGUCUGAGAGGAUGAACCGCCACACUGGGACUGAGACACGGCCCAGACUCCUACGGGAGGCAGCAGUGGGGAAUAUUGGACAAUGGGGGGAACCCUGAUCCAGCCAUGCCGCGUGUGUGAAGAAGGCCUUAUGGUUGUAAAGCACUUUAAGCGAGGAGGAGGCUACUGAGACUAAUACUCUUGGAUAGUGGACGUUACUCGCAGAAUAAGCACCGGCUAACUCUGUGCCAGCCGCCGCCGUAAAAC